GGGGAUUUAGCUCAGUGAUAAAGUUCAUGCUUAGCAUGCAUGAGAUUCCUGAGUUCAAUCCCCA
rnacentral:tRNA from 1 species